UGAUGCUCGUACAAGUCUGGAAAAUUUAAUUGUGUCCUUCGUUACAGAUGCUUUAUUGCUUGAACGCUUGCAUCUGCUCCAUAUGGACUCUAUAUAA
rnacentral:snoRNA from 1 species